rnacentral:lncRNA from 1 species
GUCAAGCUAACCAAGGUUAUGCCAUCUUCUGGGUUUGUGUGUGCCCUAAUGGCCAUAGGUGCCCUGUUCCUAAGGCUGCAGCUUGUGCUGUCCGUGGUGGGGUUUGCUCAUAGCCUUCAGUCUGUUGCUAAGUUAUGGACUUUGUGCUACUAUGGGUCCCUGAGAGUCCUGAAUUCCUAUGGGACAGGUGAAGAUGACCCAGAUCCUUUGGGUGAAUCCCUUUUGAUCCAUAAAGUUAUCAAAAGAAACCCUGAUAUCCAGUGGGUCACCAGGGAAGCCCUCAAACACAGAGAGAUGUGUGGGCUGACAU